GGACAGUGAUGACUACAUGUGAUUGGUCUCGUUCGUCGUAAUGGCAAUUAUAUUGCCUUGCCGACCAUCCUGAUAUAUCACCACCCAUAAACUGAGUCC